AUGCCUGGCCUACCUUUACCUGACUGGGACGCAGCGGACGCUGGGUGUGAAUUCAGUUACCCUCAGUCUGCAGACCAGAUGCGCCAGCAACAGCUGAGAGCUCGAUUAUCUCCAGAUGAGCAGCUUGCUGCUGAAGAAAGUUUCGCGUUGUACUGCAAGCCAGUUGAGCUAUACAAUAUCAUUCAGCGGCGAGCCAUUAGAAAUCUAGCUUUUCUGCAAAGAUGCCUUCAUUACAAGAUACAUGCAAGCCGAAAAAAGAGGAUUCAGAUAACUAUAUCACUAUCUCGAAGUACAAAUACUGAGUUGCCAGAACAGAAUAUCUUUCCUCUUUAUGUUCUGUUGGCUACACCUACCAGUAAUAUUUCGCUUGAAGGGCAUUCUCCGAUAUAUCGAUUCAGUCGGGCUUGUUUGCUUACAACUUUUAGUGAAUUUGGUAAUAAAGGUCGCACCAACGCUACAUUCAUAACCCCAGACAUCAAGAAUUUAUCAACCUCCCGACCUUGCAACCUUAACAUUAUCGUUAUCAGUUGUGUUUCGGAAGGGAAAGUUGGGGAAAAUCUUGGUGAAAAUCUUGUGGACCAUGUGGAAGGCCCUGCUCUCCAAAAGCUUGAAGGGAAAUGUUUCUGGGGUAAAAUACCAAUGGAUCUACUUGGUUCGUCUUUGGAGAACUGUGUAACUUUAAAUUUGGGACAUACAGUGGAGUUGGCUUCUGCAGUUAGUAUGAGUCCAAGUUUCUUAGAGCCGAAAUUUAUGGAGCAGACAGUUGCUUGA
rnacentral:rRNA from 1 species